CUGAGCGAACAGUCAAAUGGCGGGAACGGACCCAGAGGCAAGGUCCCACGGGGGUGUGGGGCGCCGAGCGAGGCGCUUGUUGUACCAAAAAGUGCAUAAGGGUGGACAUUACUUAACCAUCGUUUCAAUCCUGGGGACAUGGAGUCAUUGCUAACCAGGGCCGGUCACUGCUAGCCAAAACAAGACUUCAUAGGUGCAUAUCAGAGAGCAGGUUCGGCUUCCUGGCAGCGCCAUCGACCUCCCAUC